rnacentral:rRNA from 1 species
GACGAACGCUGGCGGCGUGCCUAACACAUGCAAGUCGAGCGGUAAGGCCCUUUCGGGGGUACACGAGCGGCGAACGGGUGAGUAACACGUGGGUGACCUGCCCUCAGCUCUGGGAUAAGCCCGGGAAACUGGGUCUAAUACUGGAUAUGACUCCAUGACGCAUGUUGUGGGGUGGAAAGCCUUGUGCGGCUGAGGAUGGGCCCGCGGCCUAUCAGCUUGUUGGUGGGGNGAUGGCCUACCAAGGCGACGACGGGUAGCCGGCCUGAGAGGGCGACCGGCCACACUGGGACUGAGACACGGCCCAGACUCCUACGGGAGGCAGCAGUGGGGAAUCUUGCGCAAUGGGCGAAAGCCUGACGCAGCGACGCCGCGUGAGGGAUGACGGCCU